GGCGCUAUAGUGUAGUGGUUAUCACUUGGGAUUCUGACUUGCGGUGUUCCCAAAACCCAGGUUCGAGCCCUGGUAGCGCCU
rnacentral:tRNA from 1 species